rnacentral:lncRNA from 1 species
UGUGGAGAUUUUAAUCCAGAUUGGGUCAAAUACACCUUGGAGAAAACCUUUCCUGUGAUAUGGCUGCUUUUACUUAUGAUAUUGCCAUAGUCCACUCAUCCUAUCUCACCAGUCUUCAGAGGAAGAUCAUGCCUCACUCUCAUUGUUCAUUCUCCCAGCAGAACAACUGCUGGUCCAGAAGAAUUUUAGCAUCCCAAAUUUGAUGCCUUGAGGAGGAGAGGUCUCAGCCAACUGGAAGGUGGUGAAAUGUUGUCCUGACUUUCAAGAAGGACAAGAAAGAGGACCCCAGAAACUACAGGCCUAUUAGUCUCACUUCAGUGCCUGGUAAGGUUUUGGAGGAGAUUAUUUUGUAAAGUACUGAAAACCACCUGAAAUACAACACAAUCAUUGGCCACAACCAGCACAGCCUCAUCAGAGGAAAGUCCUGCUUAUCAAACCUGAUUUCCUUCUAUGACAAGGUAAC